AAUGAACGUUGGCGGCGUGGAUUAGGCAUGCAAGUCGAGCGUGAUAGGUUUGGUGCUUGCAUUAAACCUUGAAAGCGGCGAAAGGGACAGUAACGCGUAGAUACCUACCUCCAGGUCCGGGAUAGCGGCGGGAAACUGCCGGUAAUACCGGAUAAUGUCUUCGGACCAAAGGUGUGAUUCCGCUUGGAGACGGAUCUGCGUCCUAUUAGCUAGUUGGGGGGGUAAUGGCCCACCAAGGCGAUGAGGGGUAGCGGGCGUGAGAGCGUGGCCCGCGUAGCUGGGACUGGGCCACGGCCCAGACACCUACGGGUGGCUGCAGUCGAGAAUCUUCGGCAAUGGGCGCAAGCCUGACCGAGCGACGCCGCGUGCGGGAUGAAGGCCUUCGGGUUGUAAACCGCUGUCGGAGAGGCGGAAAUCUCUAGGGGUUCUCCCCUGGAGUUGACCUAAUCUCGGAGGAAGUCCGGGCUAAGAUCGUGCCAGCCGCCGCGGUAAUAC
rnacentral:rRNA from 1 species